ensembl:misc_RNA 7SK 7SK RNA
GGAAGUGAGGGCGAUCUGGCUGCGACAUCUGUCACCCCAUUGAUCGCCAGGGUUGAUUCGGCUGAUCUGGCUGGCUAGGCGGGUGUCCCCUUCCUCCCUCACCGCUCCAUGUGCGUCCCUCCCGAAGCUGCGCGUUGGGUCGAAGAGGACGGCCUUCCCUGAAUAGAGAUUGUCUUUGGUCGAGCAUAUAUACGAGUAGCUGCGCUCCCCUGCUAGAACCCCCAAACAAGCUCUCAAGUCUGAUUCCCAUUCGUUUAAUGGAAGUUUCUGUGCUGUACUCUUAGACUCUCUCUGCCUCUAUCUUUGGUAAAAAGCACAAGCUUUGUAUGAUCUGAAG